rnacentral:tRNA from 1 species
GGGGAUGUAGCUCAGUGGUUGAGCACUUGCCUAACACGUGCAAGGCCCUGAGUUUAAUCCUCAGUGUCCCUC